rnacentral:rRNA from 1 species
CCUGGCAGCGUAGCGCGGUGGUCCCACCUGACCCCAUGCCGAACUCAGAAGUGAAACGCCGUAGCGCCGAUGGUAGUGUGGGGUCUCCCCAUGCGAGAGUAGGGAACUGCCAGGC